CGCGAAUGGCUCAUUACAACAGCUAACAAAUCUACUUGAUCUUGACACAAUCCUACUUGGAUAACUGUGGUAAUUCUAGAGCUAAUACAUGCAUUAAAGCUCUGACCUUCGGGGAAGAGUGCAUUUAUUAGAACAAAACCAAGCGGCUUCGGCUGUUUUCGGUUGACUCAUAGUAACUGAGCUGAUCGCAUGGGCUUGUCCCGGCGACGUGUCUUUCAAGUAUCUGCCGUAUCAACUUUCGAUGGUAGUGUAAUUGACUACCAUGGUGAUCACGCGUAACGGAGAAUAAGGGUUCGGCUCCGGAGAGUUCGCCUGAGAAAUCGCGAACACAUCUAAGGAAGGCAGCAGGCGCGAAAAUUACCCACUCUCAGCACGAGGAGGUAGUGACGAAAAAUAACGAGACCGUUCUCUUUCGAGGCCGGUCAUCGGAAUGGGUACAAUUUAAACCCUUUAACGAGUAUCUAUGAGAGGGCAAGUCUGGUGCCAGCAGCCGCGGUAAUUCCAGCU
rnacentral:rRNA from 1 species